rnacentral:lncRNA from 1 species
GGUCAUACAGCCCAAAGACCUUGUCGGCGGUGGUGGCGGUGACGGGAUUCCAGUAGCUGGAGGUCUCCUCGCAGGUGCCGUUACCACCACCCUUGGUGUGCAACGAGCGAGCCCCAGCACAACCAUUACACCGCUAGCCUGCCACCGCCACCGUCACCGGCGAUGGAGUUGCCAGCGAUCGGUGGCGCGUUCAGCCAAUACGCACUACUACAACACUUCUAAUAAUUAUCGGUUUAUAGGUGUUGGUUCAUUUAAGAGAAUUUUACGGUACAAUAUAUAUACUAAUAGUAUAUACUAACAUUAUAAAUGAGGACACAUUUGGAAUUCCCUGCCAAAUUUAAAGGGGUAUUUAGUAAUUCGUGAUUCAUCUUCAUUCUAAUUGUCAAAUUGAUCGUAGAUGCCUAAUCUAUCCGGAGCAG